rnacentral:rRNA from 1 species
UUGAACGCUGCGGCAUGCCUUACACAUGCAAGUCGAACGGCAGCACGGGAGCAAUCCUGGUGGCGAGUGGCGAACGGGUGAGUAAUAUAUCGGAACGUGCCCAGUCGUGGGGGAUAACGUAGCGAAAGCUACGCUAAUACCGCAUACGAUCUAUGGGAUGAAAGCGGGGGAUCGCAAGACCUCGCGCGAUUGGAGCGGCCGAUAUCAGAUUAGGUAGUUGGUGAGGUAAAGGCUCACCAAGCCGACGAUCUGUAGCUGGUCUGAGAGGACGACCAGCCACACUGGGACUGAGACACGGCCCAGACUCCUACGGGAGGCAGCAGUGGGGAAUUUUGGACAAUGGGCGCAAGCCUGAUCCAGCAAUGCCGCGUGCAGGAUGAAGGCCUUCGGGUUGUAAACUGCUUUGUACGGAACGAAACGGUGAGCUCUAAUACAGUUUGCUAAUGACGGUACCGUAAGAAUAAGCUCCGGCUAACUCCGUG